UACAGAGGGUGCGAGCGUUGUUCGGAAUUAUUGGGCGUAAAGGGUGCGUAGGUGGCGCCAUAAGUCGGGUGUGAAAUCUCGGGGCUUAACUCCGAAACUGCAUUCGAUACUGUGGUGCUCGAGGACUGGAGAGGAGACUGGAAUUCAUGGUGUAGCAGUGAAAUGCGUAGAGAUCAUGAGGAAGACCAGUGGCGAAGGCGGGUCUCUGGACAGUUCCUGACACUGAGGCACGAAGGCCAGGGGAGCAAACGGG
rnacentral:rRNA from 1 species